rnacentral:rRNA from 1 species
GNCUGACCCAGCCAUGCCGCGUGCAGGAUGAAGGCUUUCUGAGUCGUAAACUGCUUUUGCCAGGGAAGAAAAAAGGGGAUGCGUCCUCUACUGACGGUACCUGGUGAAUAAGCACCGGCUAACUCCGUGCCAGCAGCCGCGGUAAUACGGAGGGUGCAAGCGUUGUCCGGAUUUAUUGGGUUUAAAGGGUGCGUAGGCGGCUGAUUAAGUCUGGGGUGAAAGCCCGUUGCUCAACAACGGAACUGCCCUGGAAACUGGUUGGCUUGAGUACAGACGAGGGUGGCGGAAUGGAUGCUGUAGCGGUGAAAUGCAUAGAUAGCAUCCAGAACCCCGAUUGCGAAGGCAGCUGCCUAGACUGUAACUGACGCUGAGGCACGAAAGCGUGGGGAGCGAACAGGAUUAGAUACCCUGGUAGUCCACGCCGUAAACGAUGGAUACUCGCUGGUGGCGAUAGACGGUCACUGGCUUAGCGAAAGCGUUAAGUAUCCCACCUGGGGAGUACGCCCGCAAGGGUGAAACUCAAAAGAAUUGACGGGGGCCCGCACAAGUGGUGGAGCAUGUGGUUUAAUUCGAUGAUACGCGAGGAACCUUACCUAGGCUAGAAUGCGCGUGACCGCUUGAGAGAUCAAGCUUUCCUUCGGGACACAAAGCAAGGUGCUGCA